rnacentral:rRNA from 1 species
UCCGGUCCUGUCUGAACCCUUGUCUUUUGCGUACUAUUUGUUUCCUUGGUGGGCUUUUGCCUGCCAAAAGGACAUUAUAUCACCCUUUGUAAUUGCAAUCAGCGUCAGAAAAACAUAAUAGUUACAACUUUCAACAACGGAUCUCUUGGUUCUGGCAUCGAUGAAGAACGCAGCGAAAUGCGAAAAGUAGUGUGAAUUGCAGAAUUCAGUGAAUCAUCGAAUCUUUGAACGCACAUUGCGCCCCUUGGUAUUCCAUGGGGCAUGCCUGUUCGAGCGUCAUUUGUACCUUCAAGCACUGCUUGGUGUUGGGUGUUUGUCCCCGUUUUACACGCGGGACUCGCCUUAAAGUGAUUGGCAGCCGGCGUACUAGCCUCGGAGCGCAGCACAUUUUGCGCCCCUUGACCUGAACGUGGGCGUCCAGUAAGCCUAUACUUUUUACUCUUGACCUCGGAUCAGGUAGGGAUACCCGCUGAACUUAAGCAUAUCAAUAAGCGGAGGAA